GAUGAACGCUAGCGGGAGGCCUAAUACAUGCAAGUCGAGCGGUAGAGUGACUUCGGUUGCUUGAGAGCGGCGCACGGGUGAGUAACGCGUACAUGACCUACCUUUAAGACUGGGAUAGCCCUGGGAAACUGGGAUUAAUACCGGAUGUGAUAAUACGUAUAGAGAUGUAUUAUUAAAGUUGAGGCGCUUAGAGAUGGAUGUGCGUCUGAUUAGCUAGUUGGUAGGGUAACGGCCUACCAAGGCGACGAUCAGUAGGGGGCGUGAGAGCGUGGCCCCCCACACGGGUACUGAGACACGGACCCGACUCCUACGGGAGGCAGCAGUAAGGAAUAUUGGUCAAUGGACGGAAGUCUGAACCAGCCAUCCCGCGUGCAGGAUGACUGCCCUAUGGGUUUAAACUGCUUUUAGCAGAGACGAAACGCCUUCAUUUAUGAGGGUCUGACGGUAUCUGCAGAAUAAGCACCGGCUAACUCCGUGCCAGCAGCCGCGGUAAACACGG
rnacentral:rRNA from 1 species